ACGUAGGGGGCAAGCGUUGUCCGGAUUUACUGGGUGUAAAGGGCGCGUAGGCGGGCUCGUAAGUCAGAGGUGAAAUCCUGAAGCUUAACUUCAGAACUGCCUUUGAUACUGCGAGUCUUGAGUUCAGAAGAGAGAGAUGGAAUUCCAGGUGCACGGGUGAGAUACGUGGAUAUCUGGAAGAACGCCAGUUGCGACGGCGAGCUAUUGGUAUUGUUCUGACGCAGAUGCGCGCAAGCCUGGGUAAGAAACAG
rnacentral:rRNA from 1 species